rnacentral:rRNA from 2 species
GCAUAUCAAUAAGCGGAGGAAAAGAAACCAACAGGGAUUGCCCCAGUAACGGCGAGUGAAGCGGCAACAGCUCAAAUUUGAAAUCUGGCCUCGGCCCGAGUUGUAAUUUGCAGAGGAUGUUUCUGGCGCGGUGCCUUCUGAGUUCCCUGGAACGGGACGCCAUAGAGGGUGAGAGCCCCGUACGGUUGGACGCCUAGCCUGUGUGAAACUCCUUCGACGAGUCGAGUAGUUUGGGAAUGCUGCUCAAAAUGGGAGGUAUAUCUCUUCUAAAGCUAAAUACCGGCCAGAGACCGAUAGCGCACAAGUAGAGUGAUCGAAAGAUGAAAAGCACCUUGAAAAGGGGGUUAAACAGCACGUGAAAUUGUUGAAAGGGAAGCGCCCAUGACCAGACUUGUGCCCGGCGGAUCACCCAGCGUUCUCGCUGGGGCACUCCGCCGGGUCCAGGCCAGCAUCGGUUUUCGCCGGGGGAUAAAGGCUCUGGGAACGUAGCUCCUCCGGGAGUGUUAUAGCCCUCUGCGUAAUACCCUGGCGGGGACCGAGGUACGCGCUCCGCAAGGAUGCUGGCGUAAUGGUCAUCAGCGACCCGUCUUGAAACACGGACC